GACGAACGCUGGCGGCGUGCUUAACACAUGCAAGUCGAACGAUGAAGCCGGAGCUUGCUCUGGUGAAUUAGUGGCGAACGGGUGAGUAACACGUGAGUAACCUGCCCUUGACUCUGGGAUAACUGCGGGAAACUGUAGCUAAUACCGGAUACGACCCUCGGAGGCAUCUCCUGGGGGUGGAAAGAAUUUCGGUCAAGGAUGGACUCGCGGCCUAUCAGCUAGUUGGUGAGGUAAAGGCUCACCAAGGCGACGACGGGUAGCCGGCCUGAGAGGGUGACCGGCCACACUGGGACUGAGACACGGCCCAGACUCCUACGGGAGGCAGCAGUGGGGAAUAUUGCACAAUGGGCGCAAGCCUGAUGCAGCAACGCCGCGUGAGGGAUGACGGCCUUCGGGUUGUAAACCUCUUUUAGCAGGGAAGAAGCGAAAGUGACGGUACCUGCAGAAAAAGCACCGGCUAACCUCGUGCCAGCCGCCGCAGUAA
rnacentral:rRNA from 1 species